rnacentral:rRNA from 1 species
AACGAACGCUGGCGGCAGGCUUAACACAUGCAAGUCGAACGCCCCGCAAGGGGAGUGGCAGACGGGUGAGUAACGCGUGGGAAUCUACCCAGUUCUACGGAACAACUGAGGGAAACUUCAGCUAAUACCGUAUACGCCCUACGGGGGAAAGAUUUAUCGGAAUUGGAUGAGCCCGCGUAAGAUUAGCUAGUUGGUGGGGUAAAGGCCUACCAAGGCGACGAUCUUUAGCUGGUCUGAGAGGAUGAUCAGCCACACUGGGACCGAGACACGGCCCAGACUCCUACGGGAGGCAGCAGUGGGGAAUAUUGGACAAUGGGCGCAAGCCUGAUCCAGCCAUGCCGCGUGAGUGAUGAAGGCCUUAGGGUUGUAAAGCUCUUUCAGUGGGGACGAUAAUGACGGUACCCACAGAAGAAGCCCCGGCUAACUUCGUGCCAGCAGCCGCGGUAA